CCCAUCUACAACAGUGGCUGCACCCGUCCCCAGUAUCAGUUUUUUUUGUUUUAUAUUUAACAUACUUUCCACAUCUACAUUAACAUUUUUUCAGAAUUAUUUAAAAAAACAAGCAGCUCUAUAAUUUUAUAUUUAUGUUACUUUUUGUCACCCUUAUUUUUGAGGAUAAAAAUAUUACGUAGUCUUGAUUUUCAAACAGCAUCUUAUUCAAAAUAUAACAUGUUAUGAUGGAAUAUUAGUAUAAAUUAAUUUUUGAGUUCAAAUUAUUGAUUCAUGUCAAUUCGUUGACGAAAUAUUUUAAUUUUAGGUUUGUAUCGUUGGAAAUUAGGGGAGCAUACUACGUGGAGGAUCAUUAGUGUGACGACAUGGGAC